ensembl:lncRNA
UGGCUUUCUCCCAGUCUCCCUAUAAUGCUUCUAUUGUGAAUGCUAUUUCACAUUCAAUAGUUGAUGCUAAAAUGGCUUUUCAUCCCAUCUCAGUGCUGGAACCCUCAGCUGCACAGAAUGCUUUUGUCCUUGUGUAACAUGGCCCUCUGCAAUACUCAUCUGUGUGGAUGGAGCCUCACUGACCUGGUUCUGGAGGGUGCCUGUUCCCAGGAGGGAUACAGAUGCACACACUUGCAAAAAUGCCUUGUCCUGAAGUAUAGCCAGACACUCUGGAUUACCACCUACAGUGUAAGAACAAAGGUCUGUGGAAAAGGAAAAAACAACAAACAAAACCAAAACAAACAAACAAGAACUUGCGAGACCAAAUAAAGACUGCCAUUUUGCAUCCGGAAUUGCUGCUAUGCCUAAUGGGAUUUUGAAGUACACCAGAGGAAGGUCAUGGAAUAGGAUGUAAAUAGGUGACAGAGCAAUUUCAGCUGUAAGGCUGAAAUUUCUGUACUGUCCCACAAGUAUCUUAGAAAAUGCUAAAACAAAACAGAGACCUAGAAUCAAGUCCAGCUUUCUGUGGAAGACACAGUAGAGAACAUGCAUUCUUAGAUGUCAUUUUGGUGAAAAUAAUGUACAUGUCUAUACAACUUUUAGUUACUAAUUAUUUUUAUAAUACGAAAACGAAAUUUUAUUCACAAUUUCAUAGAAUAGGGUUUUGUCAGAUGUUUUACCUUCUUCUAUGUAACGCUGUAACAAAAACUGUAUAAUAAUUCAAAGAACACUUUCCAUUCAAUUUAUUGAACAGUGGUUCAUGCAUUCUUUGAUUCUCUAUGUAUUUGCAGAGUAUGUAUAAGACACCUUAUAUGUCAGGAAGAGUGUGUAUAGAACCCAGAAAUACGUAUUCUUAUUAAGCUGAAUAAUUGAAAGAAUGGCAAAUAUUUUUGUAUGAAAGACUUUUUAAAAAUAUUUGCAAACUCUGCAAAUAUAAAGAUGUUUCUCCUGUCAGAUCUUCAUCAUUACCUCUUACAGGUAAGGUGAAAGAAGGAUGAGAAGUCUGUGCUCAAACUUUCCCUCCUUUCUUAUCUUUUAGUGCUUAGCAGCACUAAAGCAAAUUAAUUGCUUCAUAACAUUUUUGAGAAAUCAUAUCAACUUCUUACAUAAUUUGGUAAGUAAAUUCAACUCUCUGUUUUCAAGGAAGAAGAGAAGAAAUGAAACUAUUGUUGUAGAAAAUAUACAAAAUACAGUAGUGGGAAUCAUGUAUAGGUAAUGCGGUCCUCAAAAAGUCUAGACCCUGUAAAAUCAAUUUUGCUAAGUUAAGAAAAACUUGGUUCUAAAUUCCCUGAGAUUUCAGAUCUUAUCUCUUUAAUUUAAUUUUUUUUAG